GACAGAGGUGCCGAGCGUUAGGCGGAAUCACUGGGCUUAAAGCGUGUGUAGGCGGGUCGUUAAGUGCCUUGUGAAAUCCCACAGCUCACCUGUGGAACUGCUUGGCAUACUGGCGGUCUUGAGCCACUUAGGGGCAACCGGAACAAACGGUGGAGCGGUGAAAUGCGUAGAUAUCUGGAGGAAUACCGGUGGCGAAGGCGGCAUCCUGGACCGGCAUUGACGCUGAGGAGCGAAAGCUAGGGGAGCAAACGGG
rnacentral:rRNA from 1 species